rnacentral:lncRNA from 13 species
AGCCUCCCAAAGUGCUGAGAUUACAGGUGUGAGCUACCGUGCCCGGCCGCAUAUAUCAUAUUUCAACUUAAAUAUAAGGUCCUAGAGAUCACCUCUGCUGUUGCCCAACAUUCACACAGCAUCUGCAUCUAGAAGUAUCUGGGCAUGAAGCUGAAGCAAGAGGGGCUAAGGAGACCAGGCUUCUCCUGUGACACCUCCCUGGGGGAAAGAAAAUGGAGCACUGAUUGUUUCCUAGGAGGAGGUUCCAAGAUAUCCAGAAGGGCAGAACAGGAUGUAGGAGCACUUGCUGAGAUUAUGGUGCCAUUUGAAAUGUGAGGGAUUGAUGAGGAUCCAUGCUGGCCAUGGAGUACAGAGGUUGUUAUUUGGGUCUAGCACGGGGCCAGCUGCAAAUGGCAGCUUGAAACCUAUUUUUUAUAGUUUUGAGUUUUCAGCCACCAGCCUGGCAGGCAAGGGUACUGUUGGGACAAAUACCCUCUUAUAGGCAGAGACAGGUCCUUUUGAGAAGCAUAGGGAGAGAGGAGAGUAGAGGAGAAGGAACAGGGAUUGAUUCUCAGGGUGUUGCCCGUCCGAAGGAGGUGAUAGGAUAAUUAUAUAUGAAAGCACCUAAAACACUGACUACAUAGGGUUGAAUGCAAACAUUCACAGAAUUACACAGAAGGAUCUACAUCAGCGCUUGAUGUUUGCUACACAAAUGGAAAUGAGCAGAGAUGGGUGAGGUUAGCUUGAGCAAGGAUUGGGAAAGACAGAUGUUUUGAGAAAUGCCCUUGCAGCUCAGAGAAAACAUCUUUACAACCUUAUUUAUGCCCAGGAGAAGACAUUCCAACCACCUCUGAGCACUGGCACUUUGGCCAACACAAACCACAGGAGGUCAGAUGGGUGGGCAGAAGAGCAAAGCAUGAGGCCAGUUAGGAGAGCAUCAAGUAUUGUCACCUGUGUUCCCUGGGUAGUCACUAUGCUCCUCCAUGCUCCCUAUCCUCCCCUGACACCAGUAUUACCACCUUAGCCCUCUGCAGAAAGAACAAUAGUGGGCCAGGCGUGGUGCUCAAGCCUGUAAUCCCAGCACUUUGGGAGGCCAGGGCGGGCAGAUCACGAGAUUAGGAGUUCAAGACCAGCCUGGCCAACAUAGUGAAACCCUGUCUCUACUAAAAAUACAAAAAAAAAAAAAAAUUAGCCAGGUAUGGUGGCUGGUGCCUGUAAUCCUAGCUACUCUCGAGAGGCUGAGGUAGGAGAGUCGUUUGAACUAAGGAGGUGGAGGUUGCAGUGAGCCGAGAUCUUGCCAUUGCACUUGAGCCUGGGAGACAGUGCAAGACUCCAUCUCAAAAAAAAAAAAAAAAAAAAAGAAGAAAAGAACAACUGUGGCAUUUAGCCUAGAAGAAUGCAUGCCUAUGGCCUCAGAAUCAUAACUUUACUAAACUAUGAUUAAGACAUAGGAACGGUUCUCUUAUUCUGAAUGUAUUGACCUCAAUAAAUAAACUAGAUAAACUCUUAGCA